GUGAUAGGCUCUUUACUGGCAACUGGGCAGCAAAUGAUCCAGCUCUAAAAUCCCAUCCCAGCCUCUGCUUUCUUGACCACUUGUGGCACUAACUGUUGUAAGUUGAGUUCCCUUGGAGGUGGAUCCUGAGAUAGAGAAUAGCAUGAAGGUGAAUUGUUAAGACAUAAUCGUCAAUCGACACCUUUGGAAAGGAAGGGAGGAAAACAGGAUUUGGCAGAGAAAAAAGUUGUGCUGCACCAUAGUCUCAAAGGAGGCCUCAGCUGACUCCAGAGUGAGUUCUGCAACUAGGAUGUCCCUUAAGAGUUGUCCCGAGCUGGGGGGGAGUGCUAUAUCUAUUUUGUAGAGUAAACAAUUGAACCUUGCCCAAAGAGAAGUUUGGCUUUAGACCACAGCUCCUGGGAAGUUAUUCCUAAGCCCUUGGAGUAUCCUGCCUGAUAAAAGUGUCCUUGUUCAUCUAAGGGCCUUGGGCCUCAGAAGAUGGUCUAACAAUGUGAUUUAUUGUGGGUGCUCUGAAUCAUGAGGUACCAGCUCAACCUCCAGACAGACUGGCAACUAAGGUCAGCCACGUGGGCAGUCAAUCAUGUCUAUGUGAUGGAGCCCCACAUAAAGACUCUGGAUACCAAAACACAGCUAACUGACUGCUUAGUAUAAAGCAGAAUAUUUUAAAGAUGGCUUUUCUGGAAAAUAAUCUUGGAUUUAUUUGAGAUAAGAAGGUCAAAUGAAGGUUUAAGAUAGCUGAUUGAAGAAAAGUGUUCACCUGGUCUCAUUCCCUAAGUUCCAUUGAAAUGGUAGAGAAAAUGCACAAACAAAAAUGAAUUUUAACAGAAAUGAAAAACCAAGAGAAUUGCCACUAGGAUAUCAGAACUUUGGGAAUUUCCUAGAAAAAGCAGAUGGAAACAGACCUAAAGAUUCACAUGGAAAUAAGGACAAAUGAGAAGCCCUCCAAUAAAGGACUCUUAAAAAAAAAAAAAAAAAAAAAAAGCCCAUGAUCAGAGGCAGUAGGAAUGAAAGAAGAACUAGGAGAUGGGCCUAGACACUGAUUUUAAAAGAGUAAAAUAACUCUGUCCAUGUUCUGAUAAAGCACCUAAUGCUGUCUUUUGACCUCAGCUACUGCUCUGCUGUGUGAGAAUUUUCACGCAGCAGACUCUCAGAGUAGACACUGGGGCUUGAACAAAGUAAUUUCCCCAAUAAUUUUGUGCUGCCUCAGGGGAAGAAACGAAACUUCCACCGAAGACAAACUACUGGUCAUCCUAAAGGAAAGCACAGCCUACCAGGGCCCAUAACAGCUCUGCACUCCAGAACCACCCCAACACCGCCCAUCUGAACUAUAUCCAUUGCCAAGAGAAAAAGAAAUUUUCAUGUGCACUAGGAAAACAUUUCUGAGCUGUUGGUUCUGUUCAUUUACAGACAUUUAUCUGAAAAUAUGAACUGUCAUGAAGUAUUUUCAAACAUUCAACAGAAAUCAAUAGCCAAUAGAAUGAAGGAACAGAGGGAUGGAAGAAUGGAGAGACAAAAGAGGAAAGAAAGAAAACAAUAGUUUCAGCAUGUCUGGAAGAAGCUCUGAACUCCAGAGAUUAAGGGAAAAUCCUAAACAUCAAUAGGGAGGAAAAAAGUAGGCUACAUUCGUAAGAAUAAGGUUUCUCAGGAACUGGGAGCUAGAGCACAAUGGAACAAUGUCUUCAAUGUUCUUGUGAAAUAUGAUGAAUCAAAAAUUCCAGACUCUACUAGCAUUUAAGUAUUUGGACAAAAUAAAGACAUUUUCAUAUCUCUGCAUACUCAAUGUUUAAAACGCAGGCCAGGAUUCCUUUCCUUUUCCAAGAAAAUGGCUUACAAUUUGUAUGAGCAUAUAUUAAAAUGGAAAUUGAAUUUAAGAAAGAGAAGGGAUUUUUUUAAAAUAAUGGGUAAAAAUAAACCAUAAAUGUAUAGUAAUGCUAAAUAAAUCUAAAUAACCUGACUGUUAACGUUAAACAACUUUCUAGAGAGAAAUAGAGAGUCACACACCAGGUCUUAAAUGCUUGACUUGGAGGUGGCACACAUCAGUUCUGCUUAGAGCCCACCAUUCAGAACUAGUUCACAGACCCAUCUAACUGCAAGGGGCCGGGAAAUGUAGGAAAGGACAGGAAUACUGUAUUAGAUGAGUAUUAAAUGUCCUCACCAUAGUUCAUAAUAAUUUUAUCUUCUCAAUGGAACAUGCCUUUCAACAGCAUGUUAUAUCCUCCUUUGACCAUAUAAUGGUUUUUAUGUUGGAAUCAAUUUUCUUAGAAAUUAAGAUUGGCCCAUCUACCUUUCAUGGUUAUACAUUGCCUGGAAUAAUUUUAUCCAUCCUUUUAUUUUCAAUCUUUCUAUGUUGUUUCAUUUUGUGUGUUCCUUGAAAACAUCAAGUAACUGGAACUUGUUCUCUAAGUGUCUGUACCUUUUAAUAGUUUAUUUUAAUCUAACCACCUUCAUUUUGAUAACUGAUAUUUUGUAACUGAUUAUUGUUCUCAUUCCUAUCUUAUUUUUUCAUUUUUCAUUUUCUUUUUUUAAAAUCUUUGCAUGUUUCUUUUUUCUUCUCUUAUUUUUACUGAUUAAAGAAAUUUUCUGUUUCCUUUUUUGUGCUAGUGGUUUGGAAAUCACAUGUUCUAUUUCCACUUUUCUCAAGAUUGAAUUUAUGCUAAAUACAUGUGCUUAAAAUAUUUUAAUUAAAUGUUGAAAAACAUUUGUAUUAAUAAGCUCUUCUUGAAACAAGACAAAAUGCUUAUCAUGCUUCAAUUCCAGUUUUCCUUUGCUCCCUCCUGUGUUUAUUGAAAACAUUUGAAAUUCUUUUUCCUGCAUUUAUUAUUAUUUUAAAGUCAGGCCUUUAUUUACUAAUAAACCAUUCUUGAAAUUGUCAACUAGGGUUUAUUCUAGGAGUACAACAAAGGUUCAAAUUUAGACCUUUUGUUACUGCAACUCACUAUAUUAGUAAACAAAAUGUGUUAACUUGAUUAAAAAGACAUAGCAAAUGUCAUACUUGAGGGUGGAACAGUAGAAGCAUUUGAUUAAAAUUCAUACCAGAGAAGGAUGAUACACAGCAUUAUUCUUGAGGUUCUAAUCAAUGCAAUUUGAUAAGGAAAGUGAAUAAAUUCUUAGUAUUGGAGAAAAAGAGACAAAACUGCCAUUACUUUCAAAUGAUAUGCUUAUCUAUUUUCUUUAAAAAUCAAAGAAAGUAAGUCAAAAAACACAAAGAACCAAUAAGAAGGUUCAGUAAGGUAGCCAAUUACAAUAAGAUCAACAGAUAGAAACUCAAUAAUUUUCUACAUCAGAAAAACAACUUAAUAGAAAUUGAAAUGCAAUUUUAAAAUCCCCAGAGCAAUAAAAGCUAUAAAAUACUUAGAAAUAACCAAAUAAAGACAUGCAUAAACUUAUGAAGAAAAUGAUUUUACUGAAAACAAAUUUCCAAAUAAAUGAGACUAAAUUUUGUAAAAUGUCAAUUCUCUCAUAAUUAAUUUAUAAAAGCAGCGAAAUGCCAGUCAGAAUUUCAAUAGGCUUUUUUUAUGAGACUUGAAAAGCUGAAUGUAAAAUUCAACUAGGAGGGCAAAUACAUUAAAAAAAAAAACAGUGAAAAAUGACAGGAAUUCUGCAGUGUGAUAUUGGCAUCAGACUAAAUCAUGGAAUAGAAUAGACAGUUUCGGAAACCAAAUAUAAAUUUAAUACAUGAUAAAGAAAGAAGUAACUAGACAAUGCCUAAUGUUGGGACAAACAGCUAUCCAUUUGGAGAAAAGAUAUAAAAUUAGAGUCUUACCUUGUACUAUAUGUAAGAAUGAAUCCUGUUUGGAUUAAAGAUCAACAUAUUAAAAAGUUAUCAAAGAAAGUUUAAGAUAAGAAUUUUAUGAUGUUGAAGAAUGCUUUCCUCAGCAAAAUACAAAAAAAAAAGGUAUCAAUAAUAAAAGGAAAGGCUACUGAUUUGAUGACUCACAAAUUUAAAACAUCUCUAAGGCAAACACCACCAUAAACAAACUUGAAAGAAAAGCAACAAACCAAAAAGAAAUAGUUGCAUCAUAAUAAAGUUACUACCCAUUCUUACCAUAAAAAUUGGUAAGAACAAUUUCUUUUAAAGGGAAAGGAGGCUGGGCUUCCUUUCCUUUUUAAAGAAAAUGGAAGACUGAGGUUGGAGGAUUGCUUAAGCCCAAGAGUUUGAGAUCACCCUGGGCAACAUGGCUAAACCCCGUCUCGCAGGGCACAGUGGAGCACACCUGUAAUUCUGCUACUUGGGAGGCUGAAGUGGGAGGAUCCCUUGAGCCUGGGAGGUCAAGGCUGCAGUGAGCCAUGAUCAAGCCACUGCACUACAGCCUGGGUGACAGAGAGAGACCCUGUCCCCAAAAUAAAUAAAUAAAUAAAUAAAUAAAUAAAUAAAGGAAAGGAGAUAUGAUUAGGCAAUUAAGAAGAAACAAAAAUGGCAAAUUAACAUGAGAAAGAAUAUGCAACCUAACUAGGAAUCAGAGAAAUGAAUAUUAAAGCAAUAUAACGAUAUCACUCCUUUAACUCUCAGAUCAGCAACAUUUUAAAAGAUUGAUAUUAUUUAUUUAUGGAAAGAAUAUGGCAAGAUGAAUAACACACAUUCUGGUGGAAUUUAACUCAGCACAGGCUUUUUGGUGGCCAGCUUGACAUUAUCUGGUCAAAUGUGUGGACAUUGGUCUAUUCUACUUCUGAGAAUGGAUCCUGUGAAAUACACACAUGGCCCAAGCCAAGCCACAUGCACUAGCAUAUUUAUUGAUCUUUUUUUAUUGGGAUGUAGCCUAAUGUCCAUCAAUAGAAAAAUGGUUACAGCAGUUGUCCUGCAAUGCAAUCACUAAGACAAUUGAGGUAGAGCCAUACGUACCCAGAUGGAAAGAGUUCUAAGACACAUUUUUAGGAGAAAAAAACAAAUCAAGGAUAAAUAGCUGGAACUCAUUCAUCUUCUUAAAGCUACAUAUAUGUACGUUUUGUAUCUACAUAUAAAUGCACAGAAAAAGGUCUGACUAACACAAAUCAAAUGGUUAGAAAUGGUUACCUACAGGAGGUGCUUCAACUUAUUAUUCAAUACAGUAUAUAACUGUACAGUAUAAAUUUUUACAGGAAGCAAGUAUUCACAUAUUACUUCUAUAAUUUUUUUCUAAGUUAAGAUCGAAUAUCUUCAGACUUCCCUGUUUCAAUGCUAGCUUUGAGAAGGAGCCACUCUAAGGAGUCCUCUCCUUAGAGCUCACAUUCAUGCAGGGAAGGCUGCUAAAGGCACAUGGCAUUGUGAACAGAGCUGAAAACUUGACUCCAAACUUUAUCUUGCUUUCCUGUUUUCUUUUCCCAUUGAUUGUUUGUAUCUGACUAUUUUGCACAUGUAUCUGUAAGUGCCCUUCAAUCCUUAUGGAAAAUAUCAGUAACUUCCAUGAACAGUAAAGGGUCCCAGCCUGGAGCCCUGGGAUCUGGUACACACGGGCGCUCUCAGUAGCUGUGAAAUCUGGAAUAAGUCCCAGCUUCUGCAUGCCUCGUUUUCUUCAUCUGUGAAAUGCAGUGGCUGGCCCAGUGCUCUCAAAGUCCCUUUCCUGUUCUUAGCCUUUAGGUUUUGUGUGCUCUGCUGGGCUCCUUCUUCUCUCCACAUCCUAAAGGCACUGCAGCAGGAAAGUGUGACUGCUCAGCCCCUUCCAUCAGCUCAGAUCACUGAGAUUCGACUGUCUCCCCAUGUGGGCCAGGGGCUGGUGAGGAAUUAAGAAUUCACACAGAAAAUCACUUUGAUUUCCCCCGCAGCACUAUUCAUUUGGGAGACACAUCUCUGAUAGUUUAUGCCCAAAGCCUCUUUAUGAGAGUCUAGAAUGGUUCUAGCGCCAGCAGUCACAGUGACCCACCAACUCAAGCCAGGUGUCCCCUCUUGGGAGCAAACUGUCUCUGGUUGGUUUGCCUUUGUCAAUAAAAU
rnacentral:lncRNA from 1 species